UACCUAAUUUAAAAAGGAAAGAUAAGUUUUAAUUGAUUUUAAUAUCCUAAAUAUUAGGAAAGCACUUGAGUUACAAUUUUAUCCAUUAUGAAAGGUAUUUUAAAAGGGUAAAAAAAACGAACGACAUUUCUCUAAGGAUCUUCGUGCUUUUAAUAUAGUAUAUAGAUAUAUAUAACGAAAUAUUUUCUUUAAUUUGCAAAAGGCCAAUUAAGGGAAUUUUGAAUCUUUCUCCUUCAAAGUGACGUAUUCUAUUAAAUUAAACUGGCUCAAUUAGUCUUAGUUGGUCAGGAAAAAUAGGAAGACUUAUUAAUUAAGCUUAAACCAUGCAUCUGUAUAAAGUUAUAUAUGCACGGUUAAAGUCUUAUAGCAUGUGAUAUUAUUAACCAAACUGUCUUAAUUAAAGGGAUUUAGGUUGGGAUCAUGAGACUUCAAACAAUAUAAAAGAGCAUGUUUCCAACACUAUAAGUAUUUCAUAAACCUUUUAAGUAUAAACAAGAUGUUUAUAUUCCACUAAAUAAAGGAUCACACACAAAAACAAAAGCAUAUAGAUAGUGCAAUGAUGUGUCGGGAUUGGAUCCUCUCCGGUACUAUUUUGUCCAUUAAUCUUCGAUAAAGUGUCUGAUAUGUGCCACGUGGACAAAAGGUAAUCAAUGGUUUGGAUUUUUUUUCAUUAUUCAUGAUAAUUUUUUUGCGUAAAUAUUUCUUUAAACUUCAUACCAUUGAAGUUAUUUACAAUUGUAGUACACUGAUAUUUUGUUCCACUUUACCCUAAUUCUUUUUCUAAUAAUUCAUUUUUUCUCUUAAUAAUGUCAAAAAUCAGCUAAAAUUGUCUCUUACGGCUCAAAAUUUAAUCAAAUAAUGAGCUUCAUUACUUACAUAAUAAACUUGAAUAGCAUUAAAGUUUAUCAAAAUAAAAUUAUAUCAAAUCAGUACGUCAAAAAAUGACAUACUAUGUUAGAAUUUAUACAACUAAACUACAAUUAAGAAAUAGUUGGUAAUGCAUUAUAAUGGGAAAAAUAAUUAAAUUAGCACUGUUGUCUAUUUAAAGUUUAAGUUUGCCUUCCAUGUUUUAUAUAAAGUAAUGAAGAUAUUAUACCAUUUCUUCAAUUUCUUAGAAAGUUAGAAUAUAAUUUUUGCUUUUUUGCUUUUUUGCAGUGCGUGUUAGAAAGGAUUAAGGGGCCAAGAAUAAUGAAAAAAAUCCAAAUCAUUGAUUACCUUUUGUCCACGUGUCACAUAUCUAUUGAAGUUGAGCUUAAUGGACAAAAUAGUACUGGAGAGGAUCCAAUCUCAUCACGCCAUACGAAAGCAUAUAGAUAGCUAAGAGAUACUUCAGCGAAAACGAGAUCGUGCAUGUAGUUAGAGAUAAUUAAAGAUUUAAAAAUCAGUUAGCGCAAAAUAUCACUACAGUUAUAUAUUGUUGAUCAUCAUGACAAUAUGUUUGUACUGAAUAUAUGUUUACAAAUAUUCUAAGAAAAUCAUUUUUCUUGUCUAAAUAUAUUAGCGGAGGGAUAGCCCGGGCCCAACAUUAAUGUUGGCUUGCAAACUUAUAAGCAC
rnacentral:lncRNA from 1 species